rnacentral:tRNA from 1 species
GGAGGUUUAGCUCAGUGGCAUAAGUGCCUGCCUUGCAAGCAGGCAGUCUUGAGUUCGAUCCCCAGUACCGAUA